AGUGAACGCUGGCGGUAGGCCUAACACAUGCAAGUCGAACGGCAGCACAGAGGAGCUUGCUCCUUGGGUGGCGAGUGGCGGACGGGUGGGGAAUACAUCGGAAUCUACUCUGUCGUGGGGGAUAACGUAGGGAAACUUACGCUAAUACCGCAUACGACCUACGGGUGAAAGCAGGGGACCUUCGGGCCUUGCGCGAUUGAAUGAGCCGAUGUCGGAUUAGCUAGUUGGCGGGGUAAAGGCCCACCAAGGCGACGAUCCGUAGCUGGUCUGAGGGGAUGAUCAGCCACACUGGAACUGAGACACGGUCCAGACUCCUACGGGAGGCAGCAGUGGGGAAUAUUGGACAAUGGGCGCAAGCCUGAUCCAGCCAUACCGCGUGGGUGAAGAGGGCCUUCGGGUUGUAAAGCCCUUUUGUUGGGAAAGAAAUCCAGCUGGCUAAUACCCGGUUGGGAUGACGGUACCCAAAGAAUAAGCACCGGCUAACUUCGUGCCAGCAGCCGCAGUAA
rnacentral:rRNA from 1 species